rnacentral:rRNA from 1 species
AUUGAACGCUGGCGGCAUGCCUUACACAUGCAAGUCGAGCGGCAGCGCGGGGGCAACCCUGGCGGCGAGCGGCGAACGGGUGAGUAAUGCAUCGGAACGUGUCCUCUUGUGGGGGAUAACCAGUCGAAAGACUGGCUAAUACCGCAUGAGAUCGAGAGAUGAAAGCGGGGGAUCGCAAGACCUCGCGCGAGAGGAGCGGCCGAUGCCGGAUUAGCUAGUUGGUGGGGUAACGGCCUACCAAGGCGACGAUCCGUAGCUGGUCUGAGAGGACGACCAGCCACACUGGGACUGAGACACGGCCCAGACUCCGACGGGAGGCAGCAGUGGGGAAUUUUGGACAAUGGGGGCAACCCUGAUCCAGCCAUGCCGCGUGUGUGAAGAAGGCCUUCGGGUUGUAAAGCACUUUCGGACGGAACGAAAUCGCGCGGGUGAACAAUCCGCGUGGAUGACGGUACCGUAAGAAGAAGCACCGGCUAACUACGUGCCAGCAGCCGCGGUAACAC